rnacentral:rRNA from 1 species
GAGUAAUGUCUGGGAAACUGCCCGGUGGAGGGGGAUAACUACUGGAAACGGUAGCUAAUACCGCAUAACGUCGCAAGACCAAAGAGGGGGACCUUCGGGCCUCUUGCCACCGGAUGUGCCCAGAUGGGAUUAGCUUGUUGGUGAGGUAACGGCUCACCAAGGCGACGAUCCCUAGCUGGUCUGAGAGGAUGACCAGCCACACUGGAACUGAGACACGGUCCAGACUCCUACGGGAGGCAGCAGUGGGGAAUAUUGCACAAUGGGCGCAAGCCUGAUGCAGCCAUGCCGCGUGUAUGAAGAAGGCCUUCGGGUUGUAAAGU